rnacentral:rRNA from 1 species
AGUGAACGCUGGCGGUAGGCCUAACACAUGCAAGUCGAACGGCAGCACAGGAGAGCUUGCUCUCUGGGUGGCGAGUGGCGGACGGGUGAGGAAUACAUCGGAAUCUACUUUUUCGUGGGGGAUAACGUAGGGAAACUUACGCUAAUACCGCAUACGACCUACGGGUGAAAGCAGGGGAUCUUCGGACCUUGCGCGAUUGAAUGAGCCGAUGUCGGAUUAGCUAGUUGGCGGGGUAAAGGCCCACCAAGGCGACGAGCCGUAGCUGGUCUGAGAGGGUGAUCAGCCACACUGGAACUGAGACACGGUCCAGACUCCUACGGGAGGCAGCAGUGGGGAAUAUUGGACAAUGGGCGCAAGCCUGAUCCAGCCAUACCGCGUGGGUGAAGAAGGCCUUCGGGUUGUAAAGCCCUUUUGUUGGGAAAGAGAUCCAGCUGGUUAAUACCCGGUUGGGAUGACGGUACCCAAAGAAUAAGCACCGGCUAACUUCGUGCCAGCAGCCGCAGUAA